rnacentral:rRNA from 1 species
GUGAGGGAAUGGUGAAAAGUACCCCGGGAGGGGAGUGAAAUAGUACCUGAAACCGGGCGCUUACAAGCCGUCAAAGCCCUGUGGGGUGAUGGCGUGCCUAUUGAAGAAUGAGCCUGCGAGUUAGUGGCGUGUCGCGAGGUUAACCCGUGUGGGGGAUCCGUAGCGAAAGCGAGUCUGAAAGGGCGUUUAGUGGCACGUUCUAGACCCGAAGCGGGGUGAUCUACCCAUGGCCAGGUUGAAGCACGUGUAAGAGCGUGUGGAGGACCGAACCCACUUCAGUUGAAAAUGGAGGGGAUGAGCUGUGGGUAGGGGUGAAAGGCCAAUCAAACUCCGUGAUAGCUGGUUCUCCCCGAAAUGCAUUUAGGUGCAGCGUUGCGUGGUUCCGGGCGGGGGUAGAGCUACUGGAUGGCUGAUGGGCCUUACAGGGUUACUGACGUCAACCAAACUCCGAAUACCGUCCGGGUAUAGCGUGGCAGUGAGACAGCGGGGGAUAAGCUCCGUUGUCGAGAGGGAAACAGCCCAGAUCGCCGGCUAAGGCCCCUAAGCGUGUGCUAAGUGGGAAAGGAUGUGCGGUCGCGUUGACAACCAGGAGGUUGGCUUAGAAGCAGCCAUCCUUGAAAGAGUGCGUAAUAGCUCACUGGUCAAGUGAUCGUGCGCCGACAAUGUAGCGGGGCUCAAGCACACCGCCGAAGCCGCGGAUCCUCAACAAGCACCCUGUCGCUAUGCGGCCAGGGGUUGGGGGUGGUAGGGGAGCGUUGUGUACUGGGUGAAGCGGCCGAGUGAUUGUGUCGUGGACGGUACGCAAGUGAGAAUGCAGGCAUGAGUAGCGAUACUAGGGUGAGAAACCCUAGCGCCGAAUGACCAAGGGUUCCAGGGCUAGGCUAGUCCGCCCUGGGUGAGUCGGGUCCUAAGGCGAGGCCGACAGGCGUAGUCGAUGGAUAACCGGUUGAUAUUCCGGUACCGGCUGGUGACCGUCAAGUGUUGACUGAAAGGUACUAACCCACGCUAAAAACAUGGUCGGGUUUCUUCGGAAAUCUGGUUGUGGUUUUGGUUUGGGGACAGGCUUUCUUGGUAGGCAAGCGUGUGGAGUGACGCACAGUGGAAGCCUUCGCGAGGUGAUGGUAUACCUCGUUUAACCGUGUAGCUUACUGCUUAGGUAAAUCCGGGUGGUUUUAUGUGAGGCGGGAUGAUGACCACUUUGGUGGGAAGUAGGGGUGAUCCUGUGGUGCCGAGAAAAGCUUCGACGCGAGGUGGCUGGCCGCCCGUACCCUAAACCGACACAGGUGGUCGGGCAGAGUAUGCCUAGGCGCACGAGAUAAUCAUGGUUAAGGAACUCGGCAAAAUGCCCCCGUAACUUCGGGAGAAGGGGGGCCUGAUACUUGAUGAAACCAUUUUUUGUGGCUUUCUAGGGUUGAGGGUCGCAGAGACCAGGGAGAAGCGACUGUUUACUAAAAACACAGGUGCGUGCGAAGCCGUAAGGCGAUGUAUACGUACUGACGCCUGCCCGGUGCUGGAAGGUUAAGAGGAACCGUCAACCUUUGUUGGUGAAGCGGUGAAUUUAAGCCCCAGUAAACGGCGGUGGUAACUAUAACCAUCCUAAGGUAGCGAAAUUCCUUGUCGGGUAAGUUCCGACCUGCACGAAUGGCGUAACGACUUCUCUACUGUCUCAACCAUGAACUCGGCGAAAUUGCAUUACGAGUAAAGAUGCUCGUUACGCGCAGAAGGACGGAAAGACCCCGGGACCUUUACUAUAGCUUGGUAUUGGUGCGCGUUAUAGCUUGUGUAGGAUAGGUGGGAGACUGUGAAGUGGUCACGCUAGUGAUUGUGGAGUCGUUGUUGAAAUACCACUCUGGUUAUAGCGUGUGCCUGAACCUUGGCCCGUGAUCCGGGUUAGGGACAGUGCCUGGUGGGUAGUUUAACUGGGGCGGUUGCCUCCUAAAUUGUAACGGAGGCGCUCAAAGGUUCCCUCAUCCUGGUCGGUAACCAGGUGUUGAGUGUAAGUGCACAAGGGGGCUUGACUGCGAGACUGACAGGUCGAGCAGGUACGAAAGUAGGAACUAGUGAUCCGGCGAUCCCGUGUGGGUGGGUCGUCGCUCAACGGAUAAAAGGUACCCCGGGGAUAACAGGCUGAUCUUGCCCAAGAG